UACGGAGGAUGCGAGCGUUAUCCGGAUUUAUUGGGUUUAAAGGGUGCGUAGGCGGACUGGAAAGUCAGCGGUAAAAUCGAGAGGCUCAACCUCUUUCCGCCGUUGAAACUGUCGGUCUUGAGUGGGCGAGAAGUAUGCGGAAUGCGUGGUGUAGCGGUGAAAUGCAUAGAUAUCACGCAGAACUCCGAUUGCGAAGGCAGCUUACUAAGCCAUAACUGACACUGAAGCACGAAAGCGUGGGGAUCAAACAGG
rnacentral:rRNA from 1 species